UACGUAGGGCGCAAGCGUUGUCCGGAAUUAUUGGGCGUAAAGAGCUCGUAGGCGGCUUGUCACGUCGAUUGUGAAAGCCCGAGGCUUAACCUCGGGUCUGCAGUCGAUACGGGCUAGCUAGAGUGUGGUAGGGGAGAUCGGAAUUCCUGGUGUAGUGGUGAAAUGCGUAGAUAUCGGGAGGAACACCAGUGGCGAAGGCGACUACCUGGCCUGUUCUUGACGCUGAGGCGCGAAAGCUAGGGGAGCAAACGGG
rnacentral:rRNA from 1 species